CAGCACCAGGUUUUUUUAGCCUUAUGCUAGUUUGUUCUCUUUAUUUCAGCUGCUUACAAAAAUAUUGAGGACUAAUCUAAUUUAAGCUUUCCUGAAAUUUGAGAUCCCAUUAGUUUAUCAGAGGCAAAGCUGUAUGAUGGGUCUGGAACUAAAGUUGAUGAGGUGGUGAAACGGCCAUAUCUUGGUGUUUGAUGCUAAAGAAUCUUCCCUGAUGAGUCCUGUCUCUGCCAGUUCUGUAAUGUGUGGUUCAGACCAUGAGUCGGAUGAUGCAAUCAUUUUGAGUGAUGGAAGCUCCUCACGACAGCAUCAAAGAUCUGAUGAAGAAGCAAAAAAAGUAUGUUUGUAAUUCAUUCUUCAAUUCACUUGCCAUCAAAGCUACUAGAGAGCAUACUGAAGAAAAAGUCUGGUGGAGAGGGUGUCAUCAAGAAAUACUUCAAAACUAAAAACCUGACUGACUGCACCAGACGAAAGAUGAUCAACAUUCUUGUUUCAGCGAUGAGACUUAUGGAUUGAAUUGGAUUUUGUGCUGCUGUUUGGAGAGGGGACAUCAGCCAAGUUUUUGGAGAGGUGGCCAACUACAUUCAAGCAAAAGAUCAUCAUGCUAAGCAAGACCCUAAGCAAGGCCACUCAGGGAGCUGAACUUCAGGAGCUGAUCCAGAUAGCAGAAUUUGCAGUUGAUGAGGGAGCUGACACGAAUGCUGAUGGAUGGAACGGUGACCUUUCCUCCAUCCUUCUCCUGCUCCAUUUGAUUAUUCCUUCAUCACAAGGCUGCAAAAGACAAGGCAUGAUGUCUGCAUCCCAAGCUGAACAGCAUCUUGUGAUAUUCCAAAAGGCAGGAACCAGUAUCCAGGAGCACCUUGACGCGAUUGACCAGAGCCGCCAACCAUAUCUUCUUGCAGUCGGGACCAGGAAGAGCAGCUUUCAUGCUUACUUCAUCAUCUUGGUGCCUUCGAAGAGCUUUAAGACUCACUUUGUUUUUGGUACUGCUUACAGUACAAUGCUGCGCAACAUGUACACCUUCAUACAGACAACUGUGUACAACAUAGACAUUGGGAAGGUUAAGGAGACUCCAAUGGUUUCUGAGCUCAGAGCUAGACUCCUGCACUAAUGCCAUUUUAAGUUAUGAUGAUAUGUUUUGUUUGCCAAGCUUGUCAUGGAAGUACCAACUUGCUCGUGAGGCAUCUCAAGUUGAUGCAUGGAAUGUUCCCUGUUAGAACUCUUUGACUAAAAUGUGGUCAAGCAGAUUAAUGUUGUGUAUUUGGUACAUUUUCAGGCUUUAGGAAGCAUUUGAACAGGGCACAUUCCAGAGACUAUCAAAUUUUGUUACGCUAACUUGGAUGCUAAUACAGCAGUUGAUAAUCAGCCAAGUCAUGCUGAUUUUCCUUCAAGUUCUAGUUGUAACCAUGUGGUACCAAUGUCUAACAAGAACACACUUGAUAUGUGUGCGUCUGCUAUUGCACAACUGCAGGUGUAGGUCAGACGACUAUAAAUAGUUUUGUAACUUCCAUGGAAGAAACAGUUCAAGAGAGAGAGUCAAGCUAAAGCGACCGCUCUUACAUGUAAAUGUAUAUGAAGAGACAUCCUCUCUUUCCUAAAGAGAAAAAUGCAUUGCAAAUUCAACUAUUUUAUGAUGACUUUGACACUGCUAAUCCAUUGGGAUCAAAAAAGGGUAUUCACAAGUUGGGAGGUAUAUAAACGCUGCAAAAAAAGAAACGACCCUUUUUCAGCACCCUGUCUUUCAAAGACAAUUUGUAAAAAUCCAAAUA